UCCCUGGUGGCUCAGAGGUUAAAGCGUCUGCCUCCAAUGCAGGAGACCCGGGUUCGAUCCCCGGGUUGGGAA
rnacentral:tRNA from 1 species